rnacentral:tRNA from 1 species
GAGGGCAUAGCUCAGUGGUAGAGCGCAUGCUUAGCAUGCACAAGGUCCUGGUUUCAAUACCCAGUACCUCCA